rnacentral:rRNA from 1 species
GAUGAACGCUGGCGGCGUGCCUAAUACAUGCAAGUCGAGCGAACGGACGAGAAGCUUGCUUCUCUGAUGUUAGCGGCGGACGGGUGAGUAACACGUGGAUAACCUACCUAUAAGACUGGGAUAACUUCGGGAAACCGUAGCUAAUACCGGAUAAUAUUUUGAACCGCAUGGUUCAAAAGUGAAAGACGGUCUUGCUGUCACUUAUAGAUGGAUCCGCGCUGCAUUAGCUAGUUGGUAAGGUAACGGCUUACCAAGGCAACGAUGCAUAGCCGACCUGAGAGCGUGAUCGGCCACACUGGAACUGAGACACGGUCCAGACUCCUACGGGAGGCAGCAGUAGGGAAUCUUCCGCAAUGGGCGAAAGCCUGACGGAGCAACGCCGCGUGAGUGAUGAAGGUCUUCGGAUCGUAAAACUCUGUUAUUAGGGAAGAACAUAUGUGUAAGUAACUGUGCACAUCUUGACGGUUCCUAAUCAGAAAGCCACGGCUAACUACGUG